UCUUCAGUUUAGCCGCAGUAUCCUCCACCAAUCGCGAUCGCAGCCAAGUUCGACUCUCCGACAAGGAGAUCUCGACUACUUCAAAGCUCUGAAUCUAUCGAAGAUCAAGCUAGACUCACUCAAGAUAUCGCUCCGGAGGUAGGAAGAUGAGGACUCUACCUCGUCCUUGGCAUUAAACGGCACAUUCAAGGAAGCGUCAACGAUCGGGAGUAGAGGAAUUCACCAAGGUGAGAAAUCUUGGAUCGGAGCUUUCUGGCAUGGGGCACUGCCUCGAUCGACCUCUUCCUCCCAGAGAUCGACCGUCGUGAGACUUGAUCGAGACCCGUGUAAGGCAUCAAAGCGACAAGAGCUCAGAUCUGGAGCUAAGAAUCACCGGAGAACGAGGGUUUCUUGACUUCUUUGCAAGGGAGAGAGAAGAGGGGGGAGCACAAACUCCACUACCGAGAGUGAGAGUGAAUACUGGACGUAAUCUUUAUCUUGGCUUAGGCUCGAGCUUCGUCUUAGCUCGAUUUUAAGCUUCACCUCAGCAAGGAUGCUCAAGGACUUAUGGGCUGGCUAGAAGGAAAAAUAAAAUCGUGAAUGAAAACUUGAAAUCCUCUUACCAUGAGAAUUUUGAACUGUAGGAGUCUCUCCCUUUUU
rnacentral:lncRNA from 1 species